AUGAACGCUGGCGGCGUGCCUAAUACAUGCAAGUCGAGCGAACAGACGAGGAGCUUGCUCCUCUGACGUUAGCGGCGGACGGGUGAGUAACACGUGGAUAACCUACCUAUAAGACUGGGAUAACUUCGGGAAACCGGAGCUAAUACCGGAUAAUAUAUUGAACCGCAUGGUUCAAUAGUGAAAGACGGCUUUGCUGUCACUUAUAGAUGGAUCCGCGCCGCAUUAGCUAGUUGGUAAGGUAACGGCUUACCAAGGCGACGAUGCGUAGCCGACCUGAGAGGGUGAUCGGCCACACUGGAACUGAGACACGGUCCAGACUCCUACGGGAGGCAGCAGUAGGGAAUCUUCCGCAAUGGGCGAAAGCCUGACGGAGCAACGCCGCGUGAGUGAUGAAGGUCUUCGGAUCGUAAAACUCUGUUAUUAGGGAAGAACAAAUGUGUAAGUAACUAUGCACGUCUUGACGGUACCUAAUCAGAAAGCCACGGCUAACUACGUG
rnacentral:rRNA from 1 species